rnacentral:lncRNA from 1 species
CGACUCCACGCCGAAACUCCUCCCCCAGAUGUGUUCUUGAGGCACAAGAGGCCUGUGGUCCAGAGCAAAGAGCAAGGACAUGGAAAAUGCUGGAAAAUAGCGGCAGCCGAGCUGGAGCGACGUUCUGCAGGGAGACACGCUCAGGCCGGGAGAAGCAGCGGAUUUCAGGUGGGAAGACUUGGAAGAGUUACCAUCUUCCUCAAACAAUUCAUGCUUUCAGAAUGAUCAAAAUUCUGCAGAGCAUGGAACAAACACCACACUAAUUCGAUGGGUCUUAGUCCCAGACUAGGUGCAGUCCACCAGAGCUCGAGCAAACAAGAACUGCAAGGUACGUCAGUGUUUUCAGUCCGCUUUGGCCGUUUCACAAUGGCAAACAGCUUUUAUUUGUAAAAGUCGAGAAAAUGGACACCAGCAGACCCGACCAGAUGAUGAGCCCGGUUCUCGUUCACCUGGAUAAUGUUGAUCUGCACGCUAGUCAGUCUUUGAAAAACACUCAAGUUGUUCUUUCUAAGCCGCUGAAGCUCUCUGAUAGAAGAAUGCACGCACCCCCCCUCACCUCGGAGAAAGAAUGACUUCAGAGAACUUCUACAAGGAGAGCGGUCAAAAUAUUUCCAGGGUCUUUGUGCUGUCUCCUCCGAUACAACAAUGGAGCUCGUAAGAUCUGAUAUUCUUUAAUGCCACCAAUUAUUUGUACAUUGUCUGUUCAGCUGCUGGCAGAGAGGAAAAGUGGGCAGGCAGUUGCUAAAUAUGAAAAGCAUGAUCCUGUCUUGUUUCAUUAGGUGGAAUUGCAAACCAUUGUCUAUAGAGAGCUUCCCCUCCUGUCUCAGCGAUAUCCUUGAAGCCAUAUAGACUGUGUGGGACGCUGCGAGCGGCUGAGGGAGUGCAUAGGCGACUGAACAGCUGAGCUUACAAAGGUAUCGGCUGUGGUUUUUCCUCCAGCUACACGCAAUCCCUCGUACGGCCGAUUCCCUGACGACUCAUAGACGUGAGCAUCUGGACAGGAUCGACCACAAAGUCGGCAUCCCACUGGGUCACGGUGUAAUAGCUCAUAAAUAAACCAUUCCUAUACAUAAAUCA